UGUCUUCCAGAGUGUUUAACUGAAUAAUAGAAGCUCAUUGUGUUCUUUCUUUCUUUCUCAAAAAUUGCCAACUUGAGUUUCCUUUUCUAUUUCCAUUUCCAGAGAAACUAGAAAACCUUAGAAGUAGGUAAAGAUAAUUAAAGAUAACUUUAAAUAGUACUUUAAGAUAAUUAUAUUAUAGAUAUUAUAGAUAAUUCACUAAUUUGUCACUAAUGUAUUAAACUAUUAAUUUGACAAUUUAGGGACCAAAAUGAGAAUUCGCCUUUCUCUUAUUACAUGCAACUUCUCUUUCUAUCUUUCCUUUCUUUUUUCUUUUUUUCUUUUUUUCUUUUUUUACUCUAACUCACUUUUCUCUCUAGUUUUUUUAUUUCUUUAAUUCUUCACCAAAUUCACCAAACUUGUGUCUAAAAUGGCAAGCUCUUCAUCAUACUCCAUAAAUCACACUCCAUCUGCACCAAAUUAGGAUUUUUCGUUGCUAAUGUCACACCAAAAUAACUAGAGUUUAGUCAAAGGAAAGAAAAUUUCUAUUUUGGUUGAAUUAAACAUGCAUCGGGCUUUAUCUGUUGUGCAUGAGAUGAUGUGGUAACUAUUCGCUUGUUUAGUAACUUUUAUGGGGCUUAAGAGUGGUUUAACAAGCUACCAUAGGUGGUUCGAGCCUGGAUUAAGGACACUAGAAUUUGCCAUUUUAUGGCUACUUUGCCUUCUUCUGUUGGAAGGACCAACCACACUUUGAUUUAUGCUCUAGCAGAGAAGUGGAUGGACAUCAUUCAUACGUUCACAAGUCAACAAGCUAACACUAUCCUCUCUUUCCUAUGUAUUAUUAAGAGAAUUGACUUCUCAAAUACACCUAUUCCUUUUGAUGAUGUGGUUCACGAGCAAUGCUUUGUUGUUCAUGAUAACUAUAUGAUGGAGUUUCUCGAAAUGUUGCCUACUCGCAAGAGCACUUGGUGCCUAGCUUACAAGAGUAUCACGGUCUACUAUAAGGUAUUCGAGCCUCAGUCUUCUAGAGAAGUGGAUCAGAUGGUCUGAACCUUUCUUGUUUAUCUUUUCAGGACCAUCUUUUUUUGUGAUUCAGAUAGCUCCUUUGAUCUUGACUACCUUGCCCUUCUCUAAGACUUUUACCAUUUCUCUUUUUAUAAUUGAGAAGCUGAUACACUAGAUAAUUUAUACUAGCAAUUGGAUGUCACCAUCCGCAAGAGCAAAAGAUUAUGUGGAUUAUGACAUGCUAUUCAUGUAUAUCUUCUUUUAUUUAUUGCCUCUCUUUUGUGUUUUCCUUUAUUAUCGUCUUUGGUGCUGACUAAUUGGAUGCAUAUAUAAGCACUAGAGCUUGGAUUGUUGAUAGUUGCUAAACCUUUUUUGCAUAGAUAGAUCUUCUUCUCUCUUGAGUUGGUGGGGCCCGAGCCGUACUGUGUCUUUCGAAUGGGCACAGAUUCAAACACAUUGCAUGUGGAUCAAUGCAUUGACCUAGGAUAAAGUAAACACUUUAUUAGUUUAUAUUUAAAUAGUUGAGUAUAGAUAUAUUUACCACAUUCAGCGUGUCUAUAGAUUCACGCAGAUUGGCUUAGGGACCAGAGUCAUUGAGAUAUUCGCUGCAAACAUUGAGUUUACGAGGAUUAUGCUCCUUAGACCUACUUGUAGGAUAUGGUAUUUAGGGGAGCACAUUUGUAGUUGGAAGAGAGGUCCUACCCUUCAACGUGUACCUUCCUCACUACCUUCUUUAAUGUUUUGGAUGAUGAAUCUUUCUGAUGAGGAGCUAGAAAAAUGCCUUAAAGGCUUUGAGGAUUUUGAGGAGGCCACCAUUAGAACAAAGUCUAGCAGGUCUGGAGCAUCUAGGAGGUCUGAGUCGGGAAACACAUGACCUUACCAACAACCAAGAGCUGCUCUUAUAUUAGGUUUUCCUAUAACUACUACCAUGGAACCUUCGCUAUUAAUAGUACCCAACAUCAUUCUUGGGACCAUCCCUUUUCUCUUAGAACUUAUUGUGUGCUAUUUGACUCCUACGGGCUCAGCCGAGCCUCAAUUAGACUUGGGCGCAUCUUUUCAGCCUGAUUUCUUUCUUGGUGAUUGCAGACGUGUAAUCUUUUUGGCCUAAUUUCUUCUCGAUGAUUGCAGACAUGUAGUUUAUCUUCUUUUGUUGUUUUUCAAGUUAUUUGCUUUCAUGAAAUGGGUUAGUGAUAUCUAUACAGUAUAUACAGAUUUAGAGAUAUUUCGGUGUUGUAAGCAAGUGCACCAAUUUACCACUAUCUCCAAGAGACAUUUCGGUGUUGUAAGCAAGGAAUGGAGAAUAUGUUAAAAUGAAAAUGCAUGAUUUAUAUGUUCUGAUA